GAUGAAGAACGUAGCGAAAUGCGAUAAGUAAUGUGAAUUGCAGAAUUCAGUGAAUCAUCGAAUCUUUGAACGCACAUUGCGCCCGCUAGUAUUCUGGCGGGCAUGCCUGUUCGAGCGUCAUUACAACCCUCAGGCCCCCGGGCCUGGCGUUGGGGAUCGGCGGAGCCCCCCGUGGGCACACGCCGUCCCCCAAAUGCAGUGGCGGUCCCGCCGCAGCUUCCAUCGCGUAGUAGCUAACACCUCGCGACUGGAGAGCGGCGCGGCCACGCCGUAAAACACCCAACUCUUCUGAAGUUGACCUCGAAUCAGGUAGGAAUACCCGCUGAACUUAAGCAUAUCAAUAAGCGGAGGA
rnacentral:misc_RNA from 1 species